rnacentral:rRNA from 1 species
AUUGAACGCUGGCGGCAUGCUUUACACAUGCAAGUCGAACGGUAACAGGGUGCUUGCACCGCUGACGAGUGGCGAACGGGUGAGUAAUGCGUCGGAACGUGCCGAGUAGUGGGGGAUAACGCAGCGAAAGUUGUGCUAAUACCGCAUACGUACUGAGGUAGAAAGUGGGGGACCUUCGGGCCUCACGCUAUUCGAGCGGCCGACGUCUGAUUAGCUAGUAGGUGAGGUAAAGGCUCACCUAGGCGACGAUCAGUAGCGGGUCUGAGAGGAUGAAGAGCCACACUGGGGCUGAGGCACGGCCCAGACUCCUGCGGGAGGCAGCAGUGGGGAAUUUUGGACAAUGGGCGAAAGCCUGAUCCAGCCAUGCCGCGUGUCUGAAGAAGGCCUUCGGUUGUAAAGGACUUUUGUCAGGGAGGAAAUCCCUAGUGCUAAUAACACUGGGGGAUGACAGUACCUGAAGAAUAAGCACCGGCUAACUACGUGCCAGCCGCCGCGGUAA